UACAGAGGUCCCAAGCGUUGUUCGGAUUCACUGGGCGUAAAGGGUGCGUAGGUGGUGAGGUAAGUCGGAUGUGAAAUCUCGGAGCUCAACUCCGAAACUGCAUUGGAAACUACCUCGCUCGAGGGUUGGAGGGGGGACUGGAAUUCCUGGUGUAGCGGUGAAAUGCGCAGAUAUCAGGAGGAACACCGGUGGCGAAGGCGGGUCUCUGGGCCGAUACUGACGCUGAGGAGCGAAAGCGUGAGGAGCGAACAGG
rnacentral:rRNA from 1 species